rnacentral:misc_RNA from 1 species
AAAAAAAAAAAAAAAAAACCUCCAUGGCCACCAAUUUCACAUCUGAUAUCUGUUGGACGGUAGUCAACUGUUUUUGCUUUUCUGGGUAAUCAGCAUGGCAGAAAGUAAAAUAAUUGAGAGAGGAAAAAGAGUGGGGAGAGAGAGAUUGGCAGACUGCUAUAUUUUUUUUUUUCAAUUUUUGCUUGUUAUCCACGCAAAAAACCCAUAACUUCAACUAUAACCAUCCAUUAAAAAGCUCAUAAAUUUACCAUCUCUCUAUUUGUUUGUGUCCAUUGCUUGUGGGUUUGCCAUUUUGGAGCAGAGGCAGAGAAAGAGAGAGAGAGAGAG